GGUCAAGGCUCGAACAGCCAUCGGGCAUCUGGCGGCCCCCGCCCUCCGGCUGGAAUGGAUGGACCCCCGCAGGCGCCACGGCCCCGAGUUCAGCAGAUUCAGUUUCUCCAAGACACCUGCCACCUUUUCUAUUAGAGGAUUUUGGAGAGGACUUAACAGAGUACUUUUUAUUGAACUGCAAUUCAAACAAGAAGAACACAGGGACAUCCAGAUCAGGUACUAUGAACCCUGAUUUUUAGCAGGGUACAUCAGCUGCCUGGAAGAAAAAAUGAAUUCUCUUGUACUUAAAGCGCAGCUAUAUUGACUAAGCUCUAUCCAGCGAACAAUCCAAGAACAAUAAGUAGAAAUGCUGAGUGGGAUUUCUGGAAUAUUGAAGGCUGGAGCACCUGUGCUGAGGACUGUGGAGCAGAAGGAUGAUAUAGUGAAACCAACAUGCCAGCUCUGGAUUUCCUACCUCCAAACUUCUUUUCCAUAUUAAAGAAAUAUACUUCUUGUUUAAGCCCCAGUUAU